rnacentral:ncRNA from 1 species
UUGAAGUUAAAUUCUAGUUUAUAAAUUUAAAUUUAAGAUUAUAUUACAUGCAAUUUUUUGAUUAUUUAUUUAAUUCUAAAGGAAAAUUUAAUAGAACGCAGUAUUUAUUAUUAUUAAUUAAUAGUAUUAGAAUUAGUAAUUUUAUUUAAGAGAAUCAAAUUUCGUGCCAGCAGUUGCGGUUAUACGAUUUCUUUAAUUUAAAUAGUUAGGUUUCAGUUAAUGUAUGAAUAAUUUUAAAUAACAAUAAUUUUGGUGAAAUAUAUUUUGUCUUGAAAAAUUAAUUUUAUAUCUGAAAAAUUUUUGUGUAAACUAGGAUUAGAUACCCUAUUAUUAAAAAUGUAAUAAAAAUAACUUGAUUAUUAUUAGAUAUGAUCUUUAAAUUCAAAGAAUUUGGCGGUAAUUUAUCUUAUCAGAGGAACCUGUUUUAUGAUUGAUAAUCCACGAUAGAAAAAACUUUAAUUUAACUUGUAUAUCUCUGUCAAGAAUGUUUUAUAAGAAAAAUUUUCAUGUUCAUGAUUUAUAUUUAAUGUCAGGUCAAGGUGCAGUUUAUAUUAAAGAAAAAAUGGGUUACAAUUAAAUAUAUAAUGGAUUGUUUUUUAGAAUAAAAAUAUGAAACUGGAUUUGAUAGUAAAUUAAUUAAAUUUAAUUAAUUGAAAUUAGCUCUAAAUUAUGUACAUAUCGCCCGUCACUCUCAUAGUAUUAUUGAGAUAAGUCGUAACAAAGUAACUGUACCGGAAGGUGUAGUUAGAAAGA